AGUGGGGAAUUUUGGACAAUGGGCGAAAGCCUGAUCCAGCAAUGCCGCGUGUGUGAUGAAGGCCUUCGGGUUGUAAAGCACUUUUGGUAGGAACGAAAAGGUCUGUGCUAAUACCACGGACUUAUGACGGUACCUGCAGAAUAAGCACCGGCUAACUACGUGCCAGCAGCCGCGGUAAUACGUAGGGUGCAAGCGUUAAUCGGAAUUACUGGGCGUAAAGCGUGCGCAGGCGGUUUUGUAAGACCGAUGUGAAAUCCCCGGGCUCAACCUGGGAACUGCAUUGGUGACUGCAAGGCUUGAGUGUGUCAGAGGGAGGUGGAAUUCCGCGUGUAGCAGUGAAAUGCGUAGAUAUGCGGAGGAACACCGAUGGCGAAGGCAGCCUCCUGGGAUAACACUGACGCUCAUGCACGAAAGCGUGGGGAGCAAA
rnacentral:rRNA from 1 species